UACGAGGGGAGCAAGCGUUGUUCGGAUUUACUGGGCGUAAAGGGUGUCUAGGCGGGCUUUCAAGUCAGAUGUGAAAUCCCUCGGCUUAACUGAGGAAUUGCAUUUGAAACUGUUGGCCUUGAGUACAGCAGAGGAAAGCGGAAUUCCUGGUGUAGCGGUGAAAUGCGUAGAUAUCAGGAAGAACACCGGUGGCGAAGGCAGCUUUCUGGGCUAGUACUGACGCUGAAGCACGAAAGCGUGGGGAGCAAACAGGAUUAGAUACCCCCGUA
rnacentral:rRNA from 1 species